rnacentral:lncRNA from 11 species
GCUUGCUUCCAUUUGUUUAAAGAAAGGUGGUCCGUAGACAAAACAACAUGGCGCCCAAGGACAUUCCUUAUUUCUAAUCAGGGUCUCGGCAAGAUGGGUUCCAAUAUGAAAUCCCACAGGCUCUCAUCCACUUGCAGCCUGUAAUCUGAGAAGGGAGGAGGCACACCAUUCCUCAAUGGCAGGAUGAGGCAUUUCCUGACUCUCCCCAUCCAUGGGCCAUUGUGGCUGUCAACUCGUUGAAGUAUAAAUGCCACUGGAUAUGAUCCAUCAUAUGAUGUAAGGUCAACACAAUGUGCUUUAAGUGUUAAAAACUUUUGAA